UUAGAGGAUAUGUAUAUGGUAGUAACUUGAAAACCUUCAUCUGACCUUGUAGCGCAAAAUCUCAAAUGAGCUCAAACCUUGAACUAUUGACAUCAUAUGGGUAUUUCUUUUCACUACAAGAAAGGAAAAGAAGGCGAGGAUUCAUUGGAUGAAAUGCUAUAAAAUCAAUACGCCCUUUGAAUCCAAAUUUGAGACAUUCCUUAUAAUUUUGCACCAUGCUCUCAAGUUUCAGUCUGUGUUUAAUAGACCAUUCUCUUUUACAGUCACCCUUGUUGUCAGUGAUGAGCAGCAUCUGCCAUAUUUUAAUAUGGCCGAGAUCAUAACACGCAUAAAAAAUUGACCCGUCUGACUUACCCAAGCAAUCACGUCGAAUGAAAUUACACUCUUUUGGUGGAAGCUCCAUCUCUU
rnacentral:lncRNA from 1 species